rnacentral:lncRNA from 1 species
AAAUAUACGAAAACAUUAGAAGAGAAAACUCCUAGAGAGUACUAUGGUUUCAAUCGGAGAUUUCCUAGCUGUCGAAGAUUGAAACAUGCAUUGGGAAUUGUUCCUGCAUCGAAUCGACAUGCACGUGGAUACCUCUAGUGGUGGAUUCAAUUCGCGGGAAUCGAGACACGUUUACUACACAACGAGUAAGUUAAUUUUGUUGUUGUGUACGUUUGUAAUCUCUACACAUGAAUCAAUUGUAAAUCUAGAUCUAAUCCUUGACUGUUAUUUCCGCUGCGUAUCAUUGGAUGAUGUCAAGGAUAACCAACAAACCGAUCACCUAAAAUUAACACAUCUUCAUCUGCUGAUAGAUGCAUCCCCAUUUUCCCGAGCUUCCCCUCUGAACUUCCUGUAAAUAUCUCCCUUGUAAAACUCCCUCGUCCUCACCACUAAAAUCAGAGACGAGAGCGCUCCGAAGAAGGUGACCGACGCCAGAAUCACAAACGCCGACCGGUAGCAUCCGGCGCCGAUGCAGACGAGCUCCUUCGCCGCCGACCUGCUCAUCCCCUUCUCCCUCAACUCCUUCAGCGCCGCCCCGUCGUAGAGCGGCCCCGUCACCUUCACGUUCAGCACGUACGACCCCAGCGGGCUCGCCAGCUGCCCGCAGUUGAACAGCGUCGAGUAGUAUUUCAGGCCAAAAAGCUCCGAGAUGAUGGCGAAGAUCAGCGGCAGCUGAGCCCCGAACGAGAACCCGAUGAUCACCGACGCCGCGUACACCGAUCCCGGGAACGGGAACGCGACGAGGAGGAGGCCGGCGCAGGAGAGGAAGAGCACCAGCGUCAUCAUCAGCGGCCGAGGGAACUUGUAUCUGAUCAGAAGAGAUUCCGACACGAAUCCGGCGAAGAUUCUGCCGAAGUAAUUCCAUAUGCUGAGAAGUGAAACAAAUGUGUUGAUCGUCUUCUGCGGGUAGCCUAGAGAUUCCCCGAUCUGUCCGAGGUUGUCUACGGCGGUCAAGCUCGAACCUAAGCCGCAGAAGGUUGCCAGAAACAGGACGAUCAUGUCGGUGCUCAGAAGGGCUUGCAGUAUCGUGUAGUCUUCCCCUCUCUCCGGCUUGUUCAAGAACGUCGUCGCGAAACAGGAUGUUUCUGUUUUGUUUCUUGAUUUCUCUUCUUCGCUGUUGUUGUUGUUGUUGUCUAUUGUUAUUUGAGGAGGAGGAACGAUGAUGGGUUCUUUCAUCCAAGCUCUGGAUUCUUCUCUAAUGGCGAUCAGCAGAGGCACAAACAGAGCUGCGCAGACGACGGUGGCGCUGGCGGCGUACGCCGCCGGCGGGAAUCCGACGAGUACUUUCUGGAGUAUAGUCAUGACCAUGAUGAAGAGCGCGAGCAGGAUCGACACGUAGAGGAACUGGUAGAAGAUCCUGAGCUCGUCGGCGGUCUGCCGCACCACCUUGAGCUCGCGGAUGGUGAAGACGAAGACGACGGAGAGCGCGGCGGGCAGCCAGGCGAUGAGGAGGAUGAGCGCCUUGGAGUCGUUGCCGUAGACGGCGAGGUAGACCUGCGUGAGGAUGGCGCCGCUGAGGCCGGUGAAGCCCUUGAGCAGCCCGAUCAUGCUGCCGCGGCUCUCCGGGAAGUUCCCGACGGAGGUGACGAGCGCGCCGGUGUUGGCGAAGUUCUGCGAGUUGGCGCCGAUGCAUAUGUAGAGACACAUCUGCCACACUUUGGGGGCGGCGAUCCUGCCCGUGACGGCCAGCCAUAUCAUGAAGUAGCCGGUGAAGUUCAUGGCGGAGCCGACGAGCAGCACGAACCACGUGGGCGUGACCUCGGCGAUGAGGCCCGACAGCACGCCGAAGUUGGCGCCGAGGUCUUUGAAGAAUCCGAGGAGGUUGAGCGUCGUCUGGUCGUACCCCAGCGACGCCUUGAUCUCCUUCGAGUAGACGCCGAAGAGGUACGUGGCGCCGGCGCCGGCCAUGAUCAGGAACGACGCGAAGAGGGAGAACCACCGCCCGCGUAUCACGUGCGCCGCGAAGCGCAGCCGGCCGCCGCCGCCGCCGGUGGUUGCUGUCGCUUCAACCAUUUUGCUUUUUGCUCUUCGCUUCAGCUCAGCUCAGCUCGGCCUUAUAUUAAAUAAAUUGGGGAAUUAGAGUUGAAUCUGAUUGACCAAACAAGGAAAGUCGUCUCUACCGCAAUGCGGUGUACGAUGUUGCAUUUCUGGAUUAAUCGGAUUCUAUGAAUCAUGGUCACGUGUUGUGAUGAUUUUUUUAGGAUAAGAUUAAAAUGUGAUGAGUGAUAAUUAUUGGGUAAUGGAUGAUGAUGGAAGCAAUUAGUGUUAUUAUAAGAGGGGAAGACACAGCUGAGUGGAGAAUAAAUGGUGGUUGAAGAUUUUCCAACAGUGGAUACAAGGCCAACGUAACGGCUACAAAUAUGUAGUGAUGCAUUCGAACGAGGCAGGACCACAUUUCAUUUCUCAUUACAGUUUCCUUGCUGACGCAAUAUAUUCGACUGUGCUUAUAAUAGAUAAAAAUUUAAUUAACUAAUUAAUUUACUAUUGUCCAAGUUCAUAUAAUAUUUGCCUGGAGUGUAUUAGGGCAGGUAUUAAGGAAAUAGAAAACGUAAUGCACUUCUAACAAGGAAAUUUUGUUACUAAAGUUUUGGAAUUGAUUAGAAAUGGAUAAUGGAUUGUUUUUGCUGAAUCAAUAUAUAUAUAUAUAUAUAUAUAUAUAUAUAUAUAUAUAUAUAUAUANAUAUAUAUAUAUAUAUAUAUAUAUAUAUAUAUAUAUAUACAUCAUGUAAUUGAAAUAAAAAAGACGCCCAUUUACAUUUUAUUCUUUCAAAUUUAAAUACAUUUGACCUUUUUUCAAAAUUUAUAAAUUGAGUACUUUAUGAAUAGCACAAGUUUUUCAGAACAGCGCCUAAUUAACCCGAAGUUAUGGGUUAUAAUCACAAGCCUAAUAAUAAUGCAAGUGGAGACGUUAUAAAAUUGGUGACAUGCCUAAGAUUUAUACACAAAAUCUUGGGUACACCUGGGUGUACCGUACAACCGGGUUGAUCCGUAUCCAAAAUAGUGUUAUUUAUAUAGUUUGGAUUAGGGUAUGAGUUCAAAUUAGUACGCAUCAAAGUUUAAGUGAAGGUGCAACUCAGUUGUACGAUACAACCGGGUGUACCCAAGACCGCCUCAUAUUUAUAUUAUAGCUUUAUGGGCCCUAACUUGAAAUAGACUUUGCCAUUGAAAGAAGUACUUGAGAAUUAUUGGCCUCGUCUUAUUUGCAUUUGUUAAGAAAUAAAUUUAUCGAAUUAUUAGUAGUGGAUAGUAAGUCAUUUUUAAAAGUUUAUUUGGAAAUAAGCAAAUUAAUUUGUAAUUUGGGCAAUAUGUUUGCAUUCUAGUAUAAUGUAUAUUAUCGUAAAUAUAAAUCCAACUAAUAAAUGUUACUAUAAGUUCUUAAUUUAUGUGAUUCGAUUAGAUUUUUUUCAUAUAUUUUUUUUUUAAGUUGAGAAAUGGAGAAUUGGAUGUCUCGAAUAUAAUUUGAUCAAUUAUAUUAGACCCUUAAACAAGCUUUUGGCCUUCAUCAAAGUUCCACGGGAAUAGCGAAGUUUUUUACUCAAUAACUAUAUUCCUAAAUUUCGUGUAAUUCAAUUCAGAAAACUAAUUAAAUAGGUCAAUGUGUUUUAUCUAAAAUGGCCAAUGAAGCCUUGCUCUAGUGGUAAAGUUGAGACACUCAAAGACUCUUUUUUGUGAGAGGUUUUAGAUUCAAUCCCGCCUGCGUGCGGUCAUGUUUUCCCACUUUAGGUCUUGUAUUAGGUCUUGUAUUCUCGUCUGCGUGGGGUGUUGUAUUGUUGAUGUUGAGGUCCCACACGUAAGACGUUUCUCGCCCGUAGAAUUGAUUAUAUUCAGAUAUAUCUUGUAAUUUUAAUUUUUUUUAAGUAAAAUGGUUUCAAAAUGAAACUUAAUCACUCCUUAAUUAGUGAUAUCGUAAUAAUCUUUUAGGUGGAAAUAAAUAAAAUAUAUUGGAUUUAUUAAGACAUAAUGCAUAUUGUUCAAAUUUAAGAAUUCCAUCAUGUGAAAAAGUAAAGGAAAAAGAUUUUUUAGGGAAUAUGUAGUAUAUACUAAUGUGGGGGAAUAAUACCCCAUUACCCACCCCUAGUCACGUGUUCACAUUUCACAUGUUCACGCACUGUUUCAUAUUAUUCUGUUCCUACCUAAUUGUUAAUUAAACAUUGGAUAUUAAUCAAUUAUUAAUUAAAAAUCAUUAGAGGCCAAAUUUUUUUUGAAGGACAUAAGAGAUUAAUUUUUAGUUGGGGUUUAAUCUUAAAAUAAGGAUUUAUUAAUUUAUAUUAUUAAUUUUAAACUAAAAUAUAUGAACACAAUUAAAAUUUUAGAGGAUGGACACAUAAACUUGGAAUUUAGUGUAUCAAGUGCUAGCACUUUGUGUCCUAUUUCCAUUUUUUAUUUAUUUUUUUCUUCAAUUUCAAUUUUGUAUGCGUUAGUUUAAUUUUGUAAUGAUUAAUUAGGAUUUGUUCAAUCCAAUUAGGAUAUAUAGUAAUUAUUUUUUUAUAGUUAGAAUCAAAUAUUUACGGGGGAAAAGUAAAAUAAAAAAUAUAUAUAAAAAAUCAAAUAUUUACCUUCUACGGCCCGCCACGCCAGUCUCCAUCUGUAAAGUGGGGAUGCACAUCACUUUAAUAGCAAAAUAUUAUUUCUUUUAGUUUUUUGUUUUAAUGAACUAACUUUUUUUUUUUUUUGAUCAAUAAAAUUCAAUAACUGAAACGGUACCAGAGGUACCAAAACGUCAAACAAGGGGCGAGUACUCGUUGGAGCACCACUCAGAAAAAGCAACAUUCGACUCUACAACAUGAAAAACCUUGUUCCAACUCCAGAGCCUACCCUUGAUAUCUUUCAAGACAUUGGGCACCUCCCAGUUCUUACUCUCGAACCUACUCUCAUUUCUAUAUUUCCACAGCAUCCACACAGUUCCAAUCCACAGGGCUUUUAUAAAUGUAGAAGAUGAAUUUGCAUUAUUAAUUGAGUCAAGACGAUGAAAAAUAUCAAUUAUUGCUGGCCAAUCUUUGACGUAUCAGGCAGUCGUUCAAAGCAUUUAGAUCAUGGCAAUCAAUUUUAGGAGGGAUCGAAAUCAUAUUAUCAUCAUUCAUCAUAUUAUAACAUCGGCAACAUAAUUAAAUUAAUUGGCGGGCCAAGUAUUGCUAGAUCCACCGCACAACUGAAGUCAUGCUCAUAUCUUCUUUUAAUGUUCAAUGAUGGAGGUGAUGAUGUUUUUUUAUAUCCAGUUGAAUACAUAAUCCUUGAAGUUUGUUGAAUUUACAGUAUAGAUUUUGUACUCAAUUCUCUUCU